UGUUUGCACUUAGCGGGAAGGGUAAGAACCUUCGACUCGAGCGCCAGCGAGAGAACGUUGCCGCAGGCAACGGCCCGAAGGGCGAGGAGCGAUAGCGACGAGUUAUCCUUCCCCCACCACCA
rnacentral:sRNA from 1 species